AUUGAACGCUGGCGGCAGGCCUAACACAUGCAAGUCGAGCGGAUGAAGGGAGCUUGCUCCUGGAUUCAGCGGCGGACGGGUGAGUAAUGCCUAGGAAUCUGCCUGGUAGUGGGGGAUAACGUCCGGAAACGGGCGCUAAUACCGCAUACGUCCUGAGGGAGAAAGUGGGGGAUCUUCGGACCUCACGCUAUCAGAUGAGCCUAGGUCGGAUUAGCUAGUUGGUGGGGUAAAGGCCGACCAAGGCGACGAUCCGUAACUGGUCUGAGAGGAUGAUCAGUCACACUGGAACGGAGACACGGUCCAGACUCCUGCGGGAGGCAGCAGUGGGGAAUAUUGGACAAUGGGCGAAAGCCUGAUCCAGCCAUGCCGCGUGUGUGAAGAAGGUCUUCGGAUUGUAAAGCACUUUAAGUUGGGAGGAAGGGCAGUAAGUUAAUACCUUGCUGUUUUGACGUUAACAACAGAAUAAGCACCGGCUAACUUCGUG
rnacentral:rRNA from 1 species